GCUCAGUAACACGUCGGUAACCUACCCUCGGGAGGGGGAUAACCCCGGGAAACUGGGGCUAAUCCCCCAUAGGCCUGAGGUACUGGAAGGUCCUCAGGCCGAAAGGGGCUCUGCCCGCCCGAGGAUGGGCCGGCGGCCGAUUAGGUAGUUGGUGGGGUAACGGCCCACCAAGCCGAAGAUCGGUACGGGCCAUGAGAGUGGGAGCCCGGAGAUGGACACUGAGACACGGGUCCAGGCCCUACGGGGCGCAGCAGGCGCGAAACCUCCGCAAUGCGGGCAACCGCGACGGGGGGACCCCCAGUGCCGUGGCAUCGCCACGGCUUUUCCGGAGUGUAAAGAGCUCCGGGAAUAAGGGCUGGGCAAGGCCGGUGGCAGCCGCCGCGGUAAUACCGGCGGCCCGAGUGGUGGCCGCUAUUAUUGGGCCUAAAGCGUCCGUAGCCGGGCCCGUAAGUCCCUGGCGAAAUCCCACGGCUCAACCGUGGGGCUUGCUGGGGAUACUGCGGGCCUUGGGACCGGGAGAGGCGGAGGGUACUCCUGGGGUAGGGGUGAAAUCCUAUAAUCCCAGGAGGACCGCCAGUGGCGAAGGCGCUCCGCUGGAACGGGUCCGACGGUGAGGGACGAAGGCCAGGGGAGCGAACCGGAUUAGAUACCC
rnacentral:rRNA from 1 species